rnacentral:rRNA from 1 species
AAAAGCUUUCUUUAAUUGAAUAAUUGAAUUUAAUUUUUUAGUGCAAAAGCAAAAAUAAAAAUUAGGGACAAGAAGACCCUAUGAAUUUUUUAUUAAAUUUUAUAAAAAGUUUUAUAAAAUUUAAUUUAAUUGGGGUGAUGGAAAAAGAAUAAAUAUCUUUUUUUUAAAGAAAAUUGGUUCCGUUUUUAGCGAUUAAAUGAAAAAAAUACUCUAGGGAUAACAGCGUAAUAAUUUUGGAUAGUUCAUAUAGAUAAAAUAGUUUGUGACCUCGAUGUUGGAUUAGGAUUCUUUUUUGGUGAAGAAGUUAAAAAAA